rnacentral:lncRNA from 1 species
CUAUUGUUCUCUAUUCUGUACUAGAAUGCAACUUCAGGAGCUCUCCAGAUAAAGACAACAGCUAUCUCUUACUUUUCCAGGAACAUAAAUAAGAUUGAUUGGACAGAUACUCUACUCGAAGUGGAGCGGGGAGGAACUGAAAAAUCACGUGCCGAAGGUUGAGGCUAGGAGAGGAGUGAAUCAUGAGAACAGCAACGCUAUUCAUCAUGCCUGGGAGGCAGAGCACCUGCAGAAGAAGGCUAUCAAGAGGGCAACAGAGAAAUCAGCAGUGACGUUUCAGGGACAUUUUUCAAGAACAAAGAUGAUCAUGUCAUGCUGCCAUGGGCCAGGCUGUCAAGGCUCUCUCCUCCUCCACCUUGACCAGCAGUUUCGUCUUCAGAAAAUGCUCCAACUACAGCCAGAAGAACAAUGAGAACCCUUGAGGAUGCACUGGUUCAGAAAAGAGUCUGAGGUUCUUCCCUUGAACUAAAAUUUUAUAAAGUUGAUUAAGAAGAGAAAAAUAAAAUUCAACUAGGCGUGCAGUACAAUCAGUAGUCCUUGUUAAGACAGCUUGCCCUUCGUUACACUUCCUUUGGCUGAAUGCUAUUUAUCCCAAGACUCUUUAUUUUUUCUAUAGAUAAAAUCAAAGACAUUAUGAGAUGAUAAACUCUCCGUUUGAGUUUCUCCUUUAGGUUCUGCAUACCAACAAAUCUACCCUACACUACUGAUAUCAGCUGGUCUUCAGGCCCCACAAGAAACUGACUCAUGGAAGAAUGUGUUUUCCACAUCCUGAUAAUUUCAUCCCCCUUAUCUCAACCAAUCAAUAAUCCCAAUUUCCCAGCUCCUUACCUUCCAUGAUUUCCUUAAACACCGAAGCCCAAUGAAAUGGAUUUGAGGCUCAAGAAAUCCUCCUGUUUCCUCAUUUGGCAGGCUUGUAAUUAUUAAACUCUUUCUCUGCUGCAAACCCUGCUGUCU